CCGGAGCCUGCCCGACAGCCACGCCAGCCACAGCAGGCAGCUGAGUCAUAACCUCCAGCAGGAAACACUCCCUGUUGUGGGAAGAGGUCGCCAGUCGAUGUGAAGAUAAUGCCCUAGGAAGUAGGUGAGAAGCUGAGACACAGAGACAGCAAAUAUCUCCUCCAAGGAUAGUGAGAUCUCAUUUUCGAUUUUUGCAUCCUCCAUAAAUAUCUCCAGCUUGAAAGAAUAGAUGAUUACCUCCCAGACCCAGGAAACUUACAUCU